AUGUCAGGAAAAGAGGAAGUUACCUCAGAAAAUUGGGAAAAAUGAGGGAAUUACCUCAGAAAAGGGUGGGAAAUGAGAGAAUCAGUGCAGAAAAUGGGGAAAAAUGAGGGAAUUACCUCAGAAAAGGGCGGGAAAUGAGAGAAUUGCCUCAGAAAAUGAGAAAAAAUGAGGGAAUUACCUCAGAAAAGGGCAGGAAAUGAGAGAAUCAGCGCAGAAAAUGGGAAAAAAUGAGGGAAUUAACUCAGAAAAUGUCAGGAAAAGAGGAAGUUACCUCAGAAAAUGGGGAAAAAUGAGGGAAUUACCUCAGAAAAGGGUGGGAAAUGAGAGAAUCAGUGCAGAAAAUGGGGAAAAAUGAGGGAAUUACCUCAGAAAAGGGCGGGAAAUGAGAGAAUUGCCUCAGAAAAUGGGGAAAAAUGAAGGAAUUACCUCAGAAAAGGGCAGGAAAUGAGAGAAUCAGCGCAGAAAAUGGGGAAAAUGAGGGAAUUACCUCAGAAAAGGAAAAAAUGAGGGAAUUACCUCAGAAAAGGGCGGGAAAUGAGAAAAUCAGCGCAGAAAAUGGGGAAAAAU